UACAGAGGGUGCAAGCGUUGCUCGGAAUCAUUGGGCGUAAAGGGCAGGUAGGUGGUCUCAUUUGUCUGGGGUGAAAGCCUUGAGCUUAACUCAAGAAGUGCCCCAGAAACGGUGGGACUGGAGUCUCGGAGAGGGUCGUGGAAUUCCCGGUGUAGCGGUGAAAUGCGUAGAGAUCGGGAGGAACACCAGCGGCGAAGGCGGCGACCUGGACGAGCACUGACACUCAACUGCGAAAGCGUGGGGAGCAAACAGG
rnacentral:rRNA from 1 species